AGCACCAAAAAAAACAACAACAGCCAGGCAAACAAACAUCCACAACACCGCCUUGGGUGAAGCCGGAGCUCUGGUGGGAAUCGGCCGCCGAAUUGGCUCGCCUGCACUGAAACCUCCCCAGCGGACACGGUGCCCUGGGGGGAGCCGGCAAAAGGGCCCGGAACACGCCGUCUCUCCAGGGAGGGAGUUGACGUGCAGACGCACACACACACGAGGAAGCGGAGCUAAAAUAAACACUUGCCAUCCCAGGGCGGCUCCUGUUUCGGAUUCAAUCAGCAGUGGAUGCCUGGAUCGCCGCCCCAUCAUAAAAAGGGCCCUGAUUGUUAUCAAGACACCCCCCCGAAAACACGUUUUGGACGAAGCCGAGAUCUGCGGAGCUGAUGGCGGGGCCAAUAUAGCUGCUGAAUGUCCGUGUUUAUCCUGGACACAUUUUAUCGGAGCGUCAAACAAGGUUUCAACACUUCCGACCGUUCUCUCUCGGAACGUUCCAUACCUGAAAGUUGAACCUUGUUUUGGGGGGGGUCCUUCUUUAAAUAAAUCAUCAUUUGAAACAGGA
ensembl:lncRNA